GUUUCCCUUAAUAUUUCUUGCAUUCUCCUAUUAAGGCAUAGUUUAUUAGGCAAUUGCAUAAAGAAUUAUAUCCCCCAGCGCCGACUCCCGUAUAUUAUGUAAGCAAGGAUAAUUGGGAAUUUAGCACAGGGCACUUUUUUAACUUAAAGUUUGGACUUAAUUUACCUCACAAAGCUGCUGGGACUGGGCUAGAUAACAAUGAUGUUCUGGUUACUGUGAUGCUGAAACAGAUUUCAAGCCAGAUAAUAGCUCACCAUGUUGGGGUAAAAUGUUGGUAUGUUGCACACAGGUGCAAGAACUUUGUUUUUUAGAGAGACCAACUUCUUAAAUGUGUAACAGUCACAUUGUGAAGGGACUGCAUUUGUCUGGAUUUCACCUGCAGCUGGGCCCACAGCCUGCCUGAGGUCAGAAAAUUUUUCAUGACCCAUUUUUUACCCUGAAUUGACAAGUUUAGAAAACAGGUUAAUGGACUACUUCAUCCUCCUGGACCUUGAAAAGCUGGCUGACCAAUAUUAGACUACUACUGCUCAAUUAGUGUGCUAGGGAAACCUUUUUGCUGCACAUGCAGAUUUUUCUGUGACAUUUUGACUAGAUUUUGAGGGCUUCUGGGGACUAUGCUGUUUUCCUUUGUACACCAUCUUCAUCCUUCUCAUUUGAAGCAGAGUUGAAGUGGCUAAUGCAGGGAAUGCAUUUAUGGAAGCUUGCACGCUAUCUGCCUUUGUUCAGCAAUGCAGGUGGCUCCUAGCAUUUAUCUAUGUUAUAGAUAUGUGAGGUCAGGGAAGGGUACUUACUAACCUCUGGAAAAGAUGAGCUUCUUGAUAAAUAUUUAUUGACUUAUGGUAGAAGCAAACAUAGAAAACUAGUUCAGAACUUAGCCUUAAUAUGCCUUUUCUCCUGGAAGUAAAAUAUUCUCACUGUGAGAGAGAAGACAUUGGACCUUAGCUUCCAGAGGACCUGGAUACACUUUACUUGCUCUCUAGUACCAAUUCAGUCACGAAUGUGGUACCUGAAUACAAUUUAAAAGCUUUAGGAGGCCUUAGGUAGGGUGGGACUCAGAAUCAUUUCCCUCUCUCAAGCCAAAAAGUGUUUCUGAGGGACACAUAGAAUAUCAGGCAAUCUAGAUGGGAACAUUUGGGAAAACUAUCACAGGCAAUUAUAUUUACUUGGCACCUAUAUCACCAAAGAUUGUUCUAUUUGAGACACCAUUUACUGGUUUAAUUGAUCAACAGUGGAACACACCCUGGAUUUGAACUCUGAUCCUGUAUAUUGAGGAUGUGCCGUGUGUGCACACACCAGUUCAGAAGUGUUCUGUGUUAUCAGUAGGAAAUCUGUUGGUCUUAUGAAGUUAAAUGAGUAGAAGGCAUCACUACAAAAAAUGAAGUACAAAUCUUGGUGGGGACCAGAUGCCCCCUUUGCAAGCUUGGAUUUCCUUGCUCCUGGGUCCACUGUAAGCAACCAUAUGUUUGUCAUGGUGCUGACUCAGAAAUCGUAGGACAGAGAGCCUCCUGCAAAACCAAAAAGAAAUGUUACUUUCCUGCGAUUAUAAUUCUUCCUUGACUUUGUUCACUUUAGAUGUUUUACUAGUGAGUUUUGAUGACUCCCACCCCUUAUGUGAGAAUGUGCAUACUUUGGAAACUUGAAUUUAUCCAAACAAGCUACCUAUGACUUAGAGUUUGGGCAUAAGUUUUAAAUUCAAUGCUCAGUCGAACUGGAUCUGGUUCCAGGCCCACUCCAAGGGUGGUUUCAGGGGUGUUUUUUCAGUACUUGUCCCAGACCACACAGGUAGCCUUGUUUCUGAGGGCAGCUUUAUGGGGAGGUGUAGAAGGUGGUGGGCAGCAAAUGCACUGCAGAGUCAUUUUCUUGGGUAUGGUGUUUAAGAAGCCUGAGAUUUUCACAAGAACCAGCAAAACCAGGAGUGGAGAGUUGGGGAGAUAGAGAAGUAGGCCUAAAACUCCCUCUUCUUGAGUCUUUUUUGACUUAAUACACCAUUGGGUCUGUCCUGGUGCUAUGGCCUAUCACAAAGGACUGUUUUAAGAGAGAAGCAAGCCACAGCCUUGCCAGAUAAGUCUCCAACACCAGCAGAAAAGCACGGACCCUGAUCUGUGGGAGGCAAGGGUCUCCCAUUAUUUCUGGAGGCAAAUGGUGCCUUCUAGUGAAAUGGUGCCACCAUUUGCUGAUGGGGGUGCCUGUUCUCAGGAUGUGUGGAAACUCAGGCCUGAGGGUUUCUACAUGGUUUAUUCAAUCUAACUGCAUACCUAGCUUGGCAGAAUGGAGGUGGACAAAAGUGCUGAAAGGAUGAGGGUAGGCUUUUAGGGCAAAUCAAGUCACAAAGCAGAUGAUUGAGGGAGGUUACAAAGCUUAGGCAGAGUUAAAGUUGGGCAGUCCAUUAGCUCCUUUUGCAAGAAUCUCUGGAGACGGUAGUUUGAAUGUUUCCCUUGAGAUUUCAAGUGCUCAUUUCUUUUCCCCUCCCUUCCUUUCUUCCUUUUUUUUUUUUUUUUUUUUUUCAUUGAAUAUUCUCUGAAGACAAUCAGAGGCCUGCCAGGGAGGGACUCCUGGCUGGUUCCAGCACUGUCCUUAGGCCUCUUUUUAAUACUAACUUGUUGGAACUGAUGCACUUUGUUUAAUGUAUUUUACCUUUUUUUUUUAAAGCUGCUCAUUUAGAACAAAAUCAAAUGCUUAUUGCAUUGUAUCCUUCCUGCUUGCUGUUUUUCCUCUUAAUUUCAAAAGUUAUGCAUUAAAGA
rnacentral:lncRNA from 10 species